rnacentral:rRNA from 1 species
GAUGAACGCUGGCGGCGUGCCUAAUACAUGCAAGUCGAGCGAACAGACGAGGAGCUUGCUCCUCUGACGUUAGCGGCGGACGGGUGAGUAACACGUGGAUAACCUACCUAUAAGACUGGGAUAACUUCGGGAAACCGUAGCUAAUACCGGAUAAUAUAUUGAACCGCAUGGUUCAAUAGUGAAAGACGGUUUUUCUUUCACUUAUAGAUGGAACCGCGCAGCAUUAGCGAGUGGGUAAGGUAACGGCUUACCAAGGCGACGAUGAGUAGCCGACCUGGGCGGGUGUUCGUCCACGGUGGGACAGAGAGACGGGCCAGACUCGGACGGGGGGACGGAGCAGAGACUUUCCCGAAGUGGGAGAAGGCAAGACGGGGCAACGCGGGGAAGGCGAUGAAGGUAAUGCGGUGGUAAAAAUCUAUUAUUAGGGAAUAAAAAAUGUGUAAGCAAGUAAGGACAAUUACAGGGCCCGGAAAAAGAGAUCCGGCGAAAACCGUG